rnacentral:lncRNA from 1 species
ACCGGAGGAGAGCGAGCUCAGUCCCAGGAGGAUGCUGAAGGCAAGGAGGCGGCUCUCGGGUGCUGUGCCAGGGCAGUGAUGGUGCUCCCAUGCAGGACUCCUCGGCUGCGGGGGAUCCUCUGCUCUCCGUGCUCAGCCGGCUGCGAGGCUUCCAAGUUUUGUUCAGUUAUUCCUGAGUUUGGAAGAUAAAGAGUAGGUAGACCAAGACAAUGACUCAGAGAUGGAUUAGAAGAACAAACUGGAUUGCUAAGUCUUUGGGGGAAGAAGACUGUAUGUUCCUGGGCUUGUAUAGAAACCAGGAGACGUGUGCCAUAAUUCCGAAUCUUGUGAAAUGGGUGCAUUUCCUGGGAAGACUGUCAAAAGAGAAAAUUUCAGUGAUGGCUUGCCCCACUCCUACGAUUAUUCCUAUGGUCAAAAUAAUUGCCUGUUGUACAAAUAGAAGUGGGCACCUCUUCUCCCCCAGAACAGUACCCUGA